ACGAACGCUGGCGGCGUGCCUAAUACAUGCAAGUAGAACGCUGAAACUUGGUGCUUGCACCGAGCGGAUGAGUUGCGAACGGGUGAGUAACGCGUAGGUAACCUGCCUGGUAGCGGGGGAUAACUAUUGGAAACGAUAGCUAAUACCGCAUAAGAGUAGAUGUUGCAUGACAUUUGCUUAAAAGGUGCAAUUGCACCACUACCAGAUGGACCUGCGUUGUAUUAGCUAGUUGGUGGGGUAACGGCUCACCAAGGCGACGAUACAUAGCCGACCUGAGAGGGUGAUCGGCCACACUGGGACUGAGACACGGCCCAGACUCCUACGGGAGGCAGCAGUAGGGAAUCUUCGGCAAUGGACGGAAGUCUGACCGAGCAACGCCGCGUGAGUGAAGAAGGUUUUCGGAUCGUAAAGCUCUGUUGUAAGAGAAGAACGAGUGUGAGAGUGGAAAGUUCACACUGUGACGGUAUCUUACCAGAAAGGGACGGCUAACUACGU
rnacentral:rRNA from 1 species